rnacentral:RNase_P_RNA from 1 species
GUACUCUGAAAGCUUAUAGUUUUAUAAGUUUUUAUAAGUUUAUAGCACUGAUCAAAGUAACUGAAGAUGAAGUCUGAGACUAGGGCCAUAAGGUGGCCCUAACAGAAUCCUCCCUGAGUUUUGGAGAGGUGAAUUUCCAGAAAAUGGGGCUUCACAGAAAGGCAGACUGGGCAGAUAUCAUGGACACCACCCUUGCAGAGUGGCCUGGUGGAUGCCUCCUUAGCCAGAGCUUGGAACAGGCUCACUGGCCAGUGAGUGAAGUGAAUUUAAAGGCUGAGGCGAAGUACCCUGCGCGGGAGCCUCACAACUCAAUUCAGACUACUCUCCCUUGUCC